GGCGGCAGGCCCUGGACGCCUCUCCCACAUUCCUUUCUAGUAGCAAUCAUGCUUUGUGAAACUCUCUUGCUUCCCGAGGUGGGGGAACAACACAAGAAGCAGGCCCCAGGCUGGGAAAGGGUGUCCAGGUGGGCAGGAGGGUUCCAGCCCAGAGAGAAAGCCAGUCACAGACUCUGGAGAAACUUCCAGGGGUGGGGGCCAGCGUGGGCAGGGUGUGGUCCGCCCGACGCUUCUUGGGCAGGAGCAUUGAUUUUAAAAUACAGUUAAAGAGGAGUUCCUAUUGUGGCUCAGUGAUAAUGAACCUGACUAGUAUCAGUGAGGUUGCGAGUUCGAUACCUGGCCUCACUUGGUGGGGUUAAAGAUCCAGUGUUGCCAUGAGCCGUUCGUUGUGUAGCUUGCAGAUAUGGCUCAGAUCCUGUGUUGCUGUGACUGUGGUACAGAUGGGCAGCUGCCUACACCACAGUUAGAGACAGUGGAGAGUCCUGGUUAAGAGCCAGGAUUUUUUUUUUCUUCCUAGGGCUGCUCCUGCGGCAUACAGAGGUUCCCAGGCUAGGGGUUGAAUCAGAGCUGUAGCUGCCGGCCUACACCAGAGCCACAGAAACUCGGGAUCCGAGCUGAGUCUGCAACCUACACCCCAGCUCAUGGCAAUGCCAGAUUCUGAACCCACUGAGCAAGGCCAAGGAUCAAACCCACAACCUCAUGGCUCCUAGUCGGAUUCGUUAACCACCACGCCACGACGGGAACUCCAAGAGCCAGGAUUCUGGAGCCAGAUGGUGGGUUCCUAUCUUGGCCUCUCCGCUUCCCUGCUGAGUAUAUCUUGCUGUGUGAAAGCUACUUAGCUCUCUGUGCCUUGGUUUUCUCAUCUGUAAUAUGGGGGCAAUAAUGGUACCCACUCUGUGAGUUAGUAGUGAGAAUGCAGCCACAGCAUUUAGAGCAGUGGGCACCCUGCCAGUACCAUGUACCCAUUUGCUUUACUAGAGCCCCAGGGUGGCCUGAGCUCUCAGGAAAUCAACCCACCCAGAAGCACCCAGGCCCCAGGCUCUUCCUCCAACGCAGGCACAGCUGCACCCUGGGACACCACCCUUCUCCCCUUACUUCCUGCAGAUCCAAGGACCAACUGAUGCCCGGACACACCCGGUUGGAGGGCAGGGGAGGGGCAGCGUGGCACCCCUGCCUAGCCAUGGAGCUCCCGAAUGCAGGGAAGGAAGCUUCCCAGCCCAGCCCGUCCAGCUGUACCUGGACCCGCCCCACCCACCCCCACCAACUCACCCCUUGCCUGGAACUUCAAAGUGGUUUAUUUUUUCCUUUUGCCUUUGGAUUCCAGGAAUAUUUAAUGGGGCGUGUGAGAGCAAACAGCCCUCCCCGCAGUCUUUCCCUCAAGAUUCAACAGGUGCUCUGGCCUUCUUUAGCCAAGCCUGUCAGCUGCAGCAGCUGACAGCUCCCGGCUCUGUGGACCUCUGUGGCAGCACUUUCCCCCCAGUUGGGGGGCUCCCCAGUUGCCCCCCUCUCUGUUCAGGGCCUCACCCCCCACUCCCCAGCCCACCUGGCCCGCACUGGACAAAGCCAUCUCAGCUGUGAGGCAAAAAUGAGAAAAUACCUUCCUGUCAGCAGGUGCCUUUGGCUGAAUUGACAGGACUUCUGAAGGCGGGUGUGGGAGUGUGAGGCCCAGUGGAAACCCACCAGGACAAGCAUAUGGAGCUUUUUUUUUUUUUUUUUUUUAAUUUUUUAAAGUUUUUUUGAAGUACAGUUAAUUUACAAGGUUGUGAUAAUUUCUGCAAUACAACAAAGGGAUUCAGUGGUACAUAUGUAUACAUGUCUAUUCUCUUUCAGAUUCUUUUCCCACAGGUACGCGAGCCGGUAAGUGAUUCCCCUCUCCCUGCAGAGGGGGGACUGUCCCCACCAUGUCCUGGGGGGCUGGGCUCAGCUCACCCCAGGGGCCGUGAAGUGCCUCAGCCCCAGCCCUAGCCUCUUCCCCCGCCCAGCAGCCCAUCUGCCCAUUGAAGUGUGCCACCCCUCUUUUUUUUUUUUUUUUUUUUUUUUCUGGAAGUUUCACAAUCACGUUCCAGCGUAAGCAAUAUCGCUGGAGAGCCCACUGGCCCUGUGGGAGUCCCGCGGAGGGUGAUGGAUGGCCCAGGGCGGGAGCCCCAUCCGUCACCCCCCUCGCUGGCUCCAGCACCAGCCGUCAGCACCGCCUGACUUGCAUCAUUUGUCUCCAAGCACCAGGGGAUUUUCAAACAUCUGUGGAGCCAGCCAUUUCCAAGGGGGAGCAUAAUUCUGGUCUAUGGUCGGAAGAACGCACACCGCCUGUGCACCGGAUCCAGGCCACCGCAGCCCCGGGCACUGGGCGCAGGCGCGGUUCCUAGUUCCCAGGCCCUGCGGGGUCAAUGCGCCCUCUUCCCCGCCCCCCCACGCCCCUCCUCCCGCCCGUCAGAGCCACCCUGGGACUCAGGGCCCACCGGAAAGGACGGGUUCCUCUCGUCUCCUCUCCCCGCAACUUCAUUUCUGCCAAACUCGCGGGCAGCGGGGCUGGGAGCCAAAUCUAAGCUGAGGAUGUUUCCACAGAUGAAGCGCUGCUCACCUUGCCUCCUCUGCCCUCUCUGCCCUUCACCCCCACCCCUUCCUCAGCGACGCCUCCUCUCUCUCGCCUGGCUUUCUUGCCACCGCCUCCCUCCCCGGCCCCCAGGCCUCCAGGUCUCCAAGACCUCGCUCUGAGGAGUGAUGGACUUGGGUCUGGAGAAGGGACCCCAGCCUGCGGGGCUGGUAUGAAAAAAGCACAUGUCAGCAGGGUGACAGAGUCUGAUAAUCUGCCAGACACAGCGGCCCAAGGGGGAAACAGAAGUGGGGCAAGAGAGAGGCUGGAGCCAGAAGAGGCUCCUAGGUGUGGAGGGGAGGGGGAAGGAGAGGGAGGCAGCCAGGACCCACUGUGACCUCUGCUUUCGCUCUGCUCCAGGCAGUUCUGCGGUGCAGCUUUGGCCACACUUUGAACUGGUCUCAGGAGAGAUGAACCACAAGCUUCACACUUGGCGCUGCCCCAUGGACCAGGGCCACCACCUUUGGUCUAGGCGCCCUGGGCCACAAGGGAACCUGGGUGGAGAGGAGAGUGCGGGAAGUAUUCUGCAAGAAAGGCUUGCAUUCAAGGAGACACUAUGUCUUCCAACCAAUGCCCAUUGACCAUGCAGUGAAACAAAGAGGCAUGAUCACUGCAACAAGGAACCUCUCACAUGUGCUGCCUGUGAAUGUGCAUCAUGCAACAAAGGACCUAAAAUCCUAGGUUAGAUCAGGUCCUUGGGCUCUUCAGUAUGUGGGGAAACAGGGCUGAGGCUGCAGCCACAAGAGAGAGACUGGACUGACCCUCCAGGGUCAGCAGAUUGUGGCGAGGCCUUGGGGAGGAGGCCAUAGGGUCUCUGCCAGGAAUCGGGGGCGGAUGGGGACUCCGGCCACAGAAGGUUUGGAAUGCUACCAUGUGGAAUGAGAAAGCCAACAAAACAGCAGAGGGAUGCGGCGAGGCGGUCAAGGGUAGACAGCAUCACUGUGCACUGGGAUCAAUCCAGAUUUAUUCACUUAGUGAGCGCAGUUGAUGACAGUCUUCCUUAUCUACCAGGAUCCUGGACCCAGCACCAAUAAAAACAAAACAAAACAAAAACCAGAUUGUUGGGCUCUUCCAACUCUGGAGAGUGGAAAUACAGGCACUCAGCUCUCAGCCUUCUCCUGCCUCCUCCUGCACGCACCUGCCAGCCUGCCUGAUGUUCCGCUCUUCAGUUCUGUAGUCACAGCAAGCCAGCGUUUACCUCCCCGGAAUGGCCCCUACCGAGGUCACCUGGUCCCCAGGACACUCUGUGGCCCUCGCCAUACCUGAGCCCUAUUUAACCCAUCCCAGCCCCACUUCCUCACAACAUGCUCCUCCUUAGUUUCUCUCUUGAGGAAGAGAGAGGACCGGAGACUCUCCUUAGGAGCUUAAUGAAAGACGCAGCCGUGUUGGAGAAGCUCACGUGUCAAGGAAUUGUGGGCAGCCUCUAGAACCCCAGGGGUGCCUGCAGCCAAUGGCCAGCACGGAGCUGGGCCCUCGUGACAGCCAUAGGACGUGAGCUCUGCCAAGAACCUGAAUGAGCUUGGAAGCAGGUUCUUCCCCAGCUGAGCCUCCAGAUGAGGAUGCAGCCUCGAGAGAUCCUGAGCAGAGGACUCAGACUCCUGAACACGGAAACUCUGAGAUCACAAAUGCGUGCUGUUUUAAGCCAUUGCAUUUGUGGUGAUUUGUUAUGCAACACAGAAAAAUAAUGCAGACCGGGUUCAGCUGAUAACGAGUAGCUGAGGAUUGGAGUAUCCUUAAAGGCGUCUGGCUGGUGCUUCUUUCCAGCUCUACCUUGGAACCCAGAGCCCUGAGCAGGGGGGUUGCAAGGGACCGUGCCUGGUGCUUUCUCAUGCAACCUGACCUACCUAAAAUUCUGCUGUGUCACCCAUAGGAAGACAAAUAGCACUGAUGGAUGGAGUCCGGCAUGGCCGUUCCCUGUAGAAUGAGAUGCUAUCAAAGUCCAGAUCGGGCCUCCCUUCCCUCCCCGAACACACUCAGACCCAGUUUUCCAGUGGAAUCUCUAGGGGUGACGUGACUGAGGGGCAGUUUUAACCCCAAUAACCUGGAAGGCAAGGGAGGAAAAGAGACUGGUGUCAAAUUAGUGAUAAAACCAAAUUAGAAAAAAAUUUUAAAAUAAGUUCUUCUUUCUUUUCUUUCUUUCUUUCUUUUCUUUCUUUCUUUCUUUCUUUCUUUCUUUCUUUCUUUCUUUCUUUCUUUCUUUCUUUCUUUCUUUCCUUCCUUCCUUCCUUCCUUCCUUCCUUCCUUCCUUCCUUCUUUCUUUCCUUCUUUCCUUCUUUCUUUCGCUUUUUAGGGCCAUACCUGCAGCAUGUGGAGGGUCCCAGGCUAGGGGUCGAAUCGGAGCUACAGCUCCUAGUCUACACCACAGCCACGCUGGAUCUGAGCUGUGUCUGUGACCUACACCACAGCUCAUGGCAGCACUGGAUCCUUAACCCACUGAUCAAGGCCAGGGAUCAAACCCGUGUCCUCAUGGGUACUAGUUGGGUUUGUUACCGCUGAGCCACAAGGAAACGCCUGUCUUGUUGCUUUCAAGUGAUUAAAAGAAGAUGCAACGGUUAA
rnacentral:lncRNA from 1 species